GACGAACGCUGGCGGCGUGCUUAACACAUGCAAGUCGAACGGAAAGGCGCUGCUUUCAGGGUGCUCGAGUGGCGAACGGGUGAGUAACACAUGGGUGAUCUGCCCCUUACUUUGGGUUAAGCCUGGUAAACUGGGUCUAAUACUGGAUAGGACCAUGCUGUAGGCGGUUUGGUGGAAAGUUUAGUUUCGGUAAGGGAUGAGCUCGCGGCCUAUCAGCUUGUUGGUGGGGUAAUGGCCUACCAAGGCGUCGACGGGGAGCCGGCAUGAGAGGGUGGACGGCCACAUUGGGACUGAGCGAGGGCCCAGACUCGGACGGCAGGCAGCAGUGGGGAAUAUUGGACAAUGGGAGCAAGCCUGAGGCAGCGAGGCCGCGUGGGGGUUGACGGCCUUCGGGUUGUAAGCUCCUUUCUGCAAUGACGAAGGCUCGGCGUGACGGUAGUUGUAGAAGAAGCACCGGCUAACUACGUG
rnacentral:rRNA from 1 species